UCCCUGAAGCCGUGCAGCUGAAGGAGUUGCUAACUCCGCCCAUACAGCUGACAAAUUCACGUGACACUUCAGAGGAAAGAACGUCUCAUCCUUCUAAAAACACAUUUCCUCCUUUCCUCUCUCCUCCCAUGCUUCCUCAGUGGGACGGACUAAGACACGAGGAAGGGAAUCAAGUGAAGGAAAUGUGGAUGCAAUUUAACGACCUGCCACUUACUUACCAACUCUUA